CAGCCAUACCGCGUGUGUGAAGAAGGCCUUAGGGUUGUAAAGCACUUUAAGCGAUGAAGAAGAAAAGUAAGUUAAUACCUUACUUUUUUGACGUUACUCGCAGAAUAAGUACCGGCUAACUCCGUGCCAGCAGCCGCGGUAAUACGGAGGGUACAAGCGUUAAUCGGAAUUACUGGGCGUAAAGCGCGCGUAGGCGGUUAAGUAAGUUGGAUGUGAAAGCCCUGGGCUCAACCUAGGAACUGCAUUCAAAACUAUUUAACUAGAGUGCGAGAGAGGAGAGUAGAAUUUCUGGUGUAGCGGUGAAAUGCGUAGAUAUCAGAAGGAAUACCAAUGGCGAAGGCAGCUCUCUGGCUCGUCACUGACGCUAAGGUGCGAAAGCGUGGGUAGCAAACAGGAUUAGAUACCCUGGUAGUCCACGCCGUAAACGAUGAGAACUAGCCGUUGGGGAGAAUUAACUCUUCAGUGGCGCAGCUAACGCAUUAAGUUCUCCGCCUGGGGACUACGGCCGCAAGGCUAAAACUCAAAUGAAUUGACGGGGGCCCGCACAAGCGGUGGAUCAUGUGGUUUAAUUCGAUGCAACGCGAAGAACCUUACCUACCCUUGAAAUCCAGCGAAGUUCCUAGAGAUAGGAAUGUGCCUUCGGGAACGCUGUGACAGGUGUUGCAUGGCUGUCGUCAGCUCGUGUCGUGAGAUGUAUGGUUAAGUCCAGUAACGAGCGCAACCCCUAUCCUUAUUUGCCAGCGCAUAAUGGCGGGAACUAUAAGGAGACUGCCGGUCAUAAACCGGAGGAAGGCGGGGACGACGUCAAGUCAUCAUGGCCCUUAU
rnacentral:rRNA from 1 species